GCAAAAGCUCAAAUUUGAAACCUUCGGGAUUGUAAUUUGAAGAUUACUGCAUUGGAGAAAGCUAACCCAAGUUGCUUGGAAUAGUACGUCAUAGAGGGUGACAACCCCGUCUGGCUAACCGUUCUCCAUGUAUUGCCUUAUCAAAGAGUCGAGUUGUUUGGGAAUGCAGCUCAAAGUGGGUGGUAAACUCCAUCUAAAGCUAAAUACUGGUGAGAGACCGAUAGCGAACAAGUACUGUGAAGGAAAGGUGAAAAGAACUUUGAAAAGAGAGUGAAAUAGUAUGUGAAAUUGUUGAUAGGGAAGGAAAUGAGUGGAGAGUGGUUGCGGUUUCAGCCUACCUUUGGGUAGGUGUAUUGCCAACGCCGAGUCAUUGACAGCGAGACGGCGGUU
rnacentral:rRNA from 1 species